AAUGUACUCCCUCCGUUCCGAAUUACUCGUCGCAGAAAUGGAUGUACUAGAUACAUUCAUUUCUGCGACGAGUAAUUUGGAAUGGAGGGAGUACUAG
rnacentral:pre_miRNA from 1 species